rnacentral:misc_RNA from 1 species
GAGGAAAUGGGUUCAAUGAUACUGAUGAAGGAAGUGAUUACAGAUUCUCAAGUGCUAAAAUCUCCGAUGUUACUGGUGGAAUACUCAUGGAUUCUUCUGAUGAACCAAGAAAAAGCGGAUUUCGAAGUAUAUUUCCUGUUAAGGAGGCUGAUUUUACAUCAAUGGAUGAUUCCGCCUUCAUCGAUUUAAAAUUGGAUUUGUCAAUCGAGUCUA